rnacentral:ncRNA from 1 species
CAGAGAUAAAAACACAUCCCGGUAGGUAGUCCGGGAGCAGUCCUUGGCUCCAGUCCAAAGACUGUCAGUAACCUUCCUUCCAGGUCGUCCAUUCUCAUU